rnacentral:rRNA from 1 species
UACAGAGGGGGCAAGCGUUAUUCGGAAUUAUUGGGCGUAAAGGGCUCGUAGGCGGCCAACUAAGUCAUACGUGAAAUCCCUCGGCUUAACCGGGGAACUGCGUCUGAUACUGGAUGGCUUGAGUUCGGGAGAGGGAUGCGGAAUUCCAGGUGUAGCGGUGAAAUGCGUAGAUAUCUGGAGGAACACCGGUGGCGAAGGCGGCAUCCUGGACCGAUACUGACGCUGAGGAGCGAAAGCCAGGGGAGCAAACGGG